AGAACAAGAAAAGGCUCUGAAACAGAUCCAAGAUGUUGUUUGAGCCAUGCAACUAGAAGAUCUCAUAGAACUAAAGUUAUCUAAUUUACAGAAAAGGUUUUACGUGACGUCUAUUGUACAGAUUCAUAUGAAAACCAUAGUUCAAACUCCAAGGUUUAAGAAGUAAGAAAGAUCAUGCCAUUUGCAACAAACAUGCAUGCAUAUUUGAAAAGCAACUGUAAGUAUGCUAUUGGACAUUGGUAAAGAUUGAAUAUCUGACCAUGGCAUAUCAAGAAACCAUGGAAUGAGUACUGCUUAUCAAGAUCUGGGUGUGAGAAGACUUAAAAAGUCAGAUAGUCAGUGAGAACCAGCUAGAAUCCAUGAUCUGUUGUGGGAAAACUAGAAGACCAAAAAAAGCACGAAAGUCAAGAAAGAAGUCUCUUUUCACAUGAAAGUGGCUGUGCUAAUGGUCUAUCAAGAUAUCCUGAGUUUCCAGUAGAGAUGUUUCAGCCAUAACACAGGCCUGGUAGAAAAAGCCUGAAGACAAAUACUGCUAUGAAUGGUUACAUCUAGGACUUCUGAAAUUAGCCCCAGAUUCAACUCAUUUUUUUCUGCAUUUGCUGAGCAAUAUGACAUGUUUACACCGAUUAGCUAAAAAGUUAUGUGAAGAAUGGGCAACAAUAUCUCUAAGGCAAGAUAUGUUCAGAUCCAAUAUAGUUCAUAUAGACCUUGUCAGAGUAAAUGACCAUGUGCCUUUCAGAACACUAAAGAAUAAAAUCCUUCCACAUUAGAAUGACAAA
rnacentral:lncRNA from 1 species